CAACUUUAGGCCGCACAGCCCGUCUUAAUAACUUUGUUACGGUUAAAUACCAAUGCUAGAUAUGUUCGCUGUCUCUGACCUUUCCUGUAAUUCAGGUUUAUACCUGCUAUUGGAUACAUUAAGCGAUCGAUUGAUUGAUUGAUUGAUAGUCUAAUAAGAAACCGAAACUUC